AAACAAAACCCAAUUCGAAAUCCCAUCCCGCGUCGCCCAGCACCUGCCCCUCCUGCCCAGUGCCACCCCGCGACGACCAUUACUCGGUCCAGCGCCACCCCGCACCUCCCAUCCCUCUGUCCUGCACCGCCCUUCGUUCCUCCCCUGUCGCCCCUGCUCCGAAGACUUUUUCUUUAGGGUUUCUGCAUUUUUGUAUAGACAGACUCAUCACAACUAUAUAAAGUCACCAGUCAUUUUUGUUUCUAGGGUUUUGGUGCCUCCAUUUUCUUCGCUUCGUCUAGACUCAGAGACAAAAAUAGAGCGAAAAUGAAGACCAUUCUCUCGUUGAAGACUAUGGAUGUCCCAGACGGCGUAAAAAUCAAGAUAAAUGCCAAGAUGGUUUUAUUUCUCUUCUUUUGAGCAUUCAAAACGUGGUUGACAGAUGAGGAAGAACAAAAUACAGCGGACUACCAACCAAGCAGUAAAUUGGUUAAGUGGACUCUGAGAAAACAAAAAAAAUGCAAAGAAAAAGAUGCACAAUUGUGCACUAAUUUAGACACAUUCGCAGAAGGAAUUAAGUUUUGAACGGCUUUGUGUCACUUCUUUCAGAUGGAGGAUUUUGACAAUAUUUGAAGGGACGAUAAGACCAGAUUUUCAUUUGCUAUGUAUUAAUUAGUUCUUGUACAACUUUAAUUUAUACCUGUUGGAGACUAAGCAUGCACUGAUCUCUGUAUAAGUUUAUUUCAUGUGAAUGAGAUGAGGGAAUUUGGCAAGAUUGCAAAAUGGUUUUCAU